rnacentral:lncRNA from 1 species
GGCAACCCGCUCGGUCCUCUUACACACUGUGGUAGCUUUGUUCUUUUGCUCUUUGCAAUAAAUCUUGCUACUGCUCACUCUUUGGGUCCACACUGCCUUUAUGAGCUGUAACACUCACCGGGAAGGUCUGCAGCUUCACUCCGGAAGCCAGCGAGACCAGGAGCCCACCGGAAGGAACAAACAACUCCAGACGCCCCGCCUUGAGAGCUGUAACACUCACCCUGAAGGUCUGCGGCUUCACUCCUGAGCCAGCGAGACCACGAACCCACCAGAAGGAAGAAACUGAACACAUCUGAACAUCAGAAGGAACAAACUCCGGACACGCCGCCUUUAAGAACGGCCUCAAGCUACUGUGGAAAAACCAUAUCGCAUUCAAAAGUGUCUUUCAACUAUAAAAAGAAUACCCCAGAGAAUCUUCUCCAAAAACAUUUCUUCCAGCUGUCUGUGGGGCCUUGUGAAAUCAAAGUUCUGGAGACUGACAAAUCGAAGAUCAAGCCACCAGCAAGUUCAACAUCUGGUGAAGGCCCUGUCUCCAUUUCCAAAAUGGUGCUUUGAAUGCUGUGUCCCUCACAUGGCAAAGAAGAUGGAAGAGUGAACAAGGGACCUAGCUGGUUCCCUUCAGGCCUUUUAUCGGGCACUAAUCACAACCAUGACGGUGAAGCUCUUAGGGAUUAGUCACCUCCAAAGGCCCCAGCUUUUAAUACUGAUGCAUUAGGGAUUAAGUUUCAUCAUGGAUUUUGGAAGGGACACAAUCAUUCAAGCCAUAGCCCACAUAGAUGUGAUUUCAACAUUCCUGUACGCCUCAUGGUGGAAGUCAAAGACAGCUGAGGGCCUGGGUGGGACAACCUUCCUUCUUGGUGGCCACAGUGAGAGUGAAAUGAGCCAAUGCUGAGAGCUACCAGUUGUGCCCUUCAAGUUAGAAACCAAAUGAGAGUCACUGGCAAACUUCAAGGGUCUGAAUUGCCAGUGAAUCCUGAGGGGAGGUGGGCCAUGAAGGAGAGAUGGUGGAGCAUCCAAGGAGUGCUUAUCCUAGAAGAGAGAAUGGACAAAGACUGCCAUCAUCUUCUGGCUUUAGAAAAACGCAACAAUAAUAAUAGAAUUUCUCAAGAAAUAUCUCAAGAUGUCAGAGAGAGUAAGGGUGGGGAAGAGCUCAUUUGAGAAAAAUUUUGUCAUUGAUAGAGUAUUUAUGAAAAAGAGACUCUUCUGUCAAAUGAGAUCAUUGGUAGGUUUAAAGUUCAAGUAUUCUCACUGCUCCUCAGCAGCCUGUAUAUGUGUGUUUGCAGGUGGGCAGGGCUGAUGAGAAGGACCAUUAGAUCAGCUGCAGAAAACGAAGAAGUCAGGGCUGAUAUGUUCACUAGGCAUCAUGGACAGAGUGCUUGGGACCUAGAGGACAUUGAGUCUCACAAAAAAGUUUAUUUUUAAUAAUAAGAGAAACAUUAACCUGUAAGGUCAAAGAUUACAUUUGUCUUUAUACCAAUGAAGUUAUAAAAUAUAAUUUUCAAUAUGUGUUUAUAGAAGAAGGGGGUAACAAAGGCAAAAGCACGUACAGCAUACGAAAGUCACAGUGUGGCCCUCAAAGAAGUUACAUUGUCUUUACGUACAUAGGUUGUAAUGUGACAAAAAGUGGGUGGUAAUGGAGAAAUGGUUCAUGUCAUUCUCACAAUUUACAAAAAUAUUAUUUUACUACCCCAUUUUAUAAAUCAUGUCUUGGAAAGGGUCAUACAUCCAGUAAGUUGUGAAGCUAAGAUUUGGUUCUGAUUCUCUACAACUAAGCCUAAGCACAGAAGCACAGAGAGAAACCUCUUGUUUCUGAGAGGCUUCUAUCAGGCCUGGGGUAAGGUAACUGACACUAAUUAUGUGCAUCACUUUGAACAUCUGCAUACAGCUGCCAGCUGCUCCUGACCCUUGUCAAAUGCUCCUAAGAAGGACUUAAUUAAGUGGAUUUGUGGUUCUUCUAGCUUAAUCUCUGGCCUGAAUCUGCCACCAACUUGCUCCUAACAGUUGCGUUUUGCUUUUUAAUACUUUAGCUUCUGCUUCCAGUUUGAUAUCCCCCAAAAGCCCUUUAUCUCUAUAUUAUUAGGAAAUGUUCAUUUGAUGAAUUCAUUAUUAUUUAUUGUACGGUAGCAAAGAGUUUCUUUCUAACUUUCUGAAAGAACCAAAAUGAAAGUUUCAGUCCUUCAACCUAUUUGUUGAAGAAAACUGAAGCUCAGAGUGAACGUUGUUAUAAUUAAUCAAACUCACCUAUUCCAAACUCUCUAUCUUUACUUACCCAGCCUUCCCACAACCUUCCCCCCCAACACAUCCUUACCACCAGCUUCUAAGGUUCUAGGGUAACACAAAUUAAGAGAGAAAGCUUGAGAAACAUUUUACUGUUUUUUUUGCUUCCUUGAUAGAAAAAAGGUAAAGUGACAAACUAAACUUGUAUUGAAGUUUCACAAGGAUUUUAGUAAGUAUUAAAAUUACAGUGAAUUUCAGUAUCAAAUAUUUACAUCUGUAUAAUCAGUGAAUUCAAAACUUAGAAGCAUACAACUACAGCCAGUUAUUUGACUUUUAAUUCUCCUAGGCACAUCUGGUGUGGCCAAGGACUGAAUCUGGGCUUGCUCAUGUGACUGGUCAACUUAUGGGAUAGAUAGAAGCUGGCUGGUUCCAAACGUCCCCACUCACACAUCUGCCAGUUGACUUGCUCUCAGCAGAGAUGAUGGGUGUAACUGGGUCACAGAUCACAUGACUCUCAUCAUCUCACCAGCUAGCCCAUACUUGUUUACAUGGUGGCAUGAAGCUCAAAAGGCAGCAAAAGAGGAAAAGCCUAAGUGUAAAAAUGUCAGACAUCUGCUUGCAUCUUAUUUGCUAAACCGCUGCUUGCAUCCUAUUUGCUAUUGUCCCAUUGCAGUAAACAAGUCACGUAGCCAAACCAGAGCUGGCAAAUCUGUGAAUUCUGUAAGGUCAUGGGUAUUAGCAGGAAUUAACAAAUUAAAGGCUGACAUACAACAAAGUAUCAUAUUUUCCAAGCAACCCUCCCAUUCUUGCUCUUCCCAACAUAACAGUACCCAUCCCAGGGCCAUGGGUAGUGACAACAUUGUCAAAGGGGCUUGGAAUCUUACACCUUCAUAGAGCCAAUGAUUCUUCCUCUUGGCUCAUAUAUAAAAUCAGAAAUAUCUAAAAUUCUGUAAUAGAAAUAGUGGAGAUAUGUGUUCACAUUUUCAGUUCACCUACUUUUCAGAAACUUUCAUUGAUUUUAUGUUUGAAUGCAUGUUUGUUUAACAGAGAUUUUAAAUCAAUCAUGCUGAGUGAGUAUGUGUGAGUGACUAGAGAGUAAACACUCUGUCCAGAAUAGUUUUAUUGUUGGAAAUUCAGUGACAUAGGAGCAGUAGCAGAUAAAAGGGUUUUUAUGCUGUUCAUUGCAUAUUGGGUCAACAUAUAUAGAUGUAGUGAGACUGGAUUAAGUAUCAAUCCCUUCUCUGACAUAAGCAAGAGCUGUAGCCCAAGGUUUGUGGUUUCAGAAGGCACUAACCCAUUGACUCCCAGCCCUGAAUGACCAUUUCAGCACUAUAUCUGGAUUAAUUGUCUUAGACCAGUGGUUCUCAAAUUUUUUGGUAACUGGACCCCUUGAAAUUCUUAAAAGUUAUUAAAAAUCAUAAAAAUAAAUUUAUUAUUAUACCAGAAAAAAU